UAAGCUCGCUUCAUGCUCAGUCGCCUUGUC
rnacentral:sRNA from 1 species